rnacentral:tRNA from 1 species
ACCUAGCUCAAAGGGUAAAGAAUCUGCCUGUUAUGCAGGAGACCAGGGUUCAAUCCCUGGGU